UUGAUUAAUAAAAGCAUGUACUUUCUCUCUUUCCACACUAGGGAGAACUGUUCUCAGAAAUUCAUUUGUGACUGGCCGAGGUAAUUUAUUGUCAUUUAGAAUUCGCUCAAUCACAUUAAAUCCAAUAAUAGGACGACAAAGCUGCCUGCCCUCCAUCACCAGCACAGGUAUGACAAGUUCUUUUGUUUCAGUUUCAGUUACUGUCAAACCAAAAGUCACUUCCAACCAUCCCAUGUAAGGAAUGUCCUGUCCAUUUGCUGCCACAAGACGGAGACUUUCAGGUGCAUCGAUUACCUCUGUCACAUCCCUCAACCUCAUGUUAGGCAAGUACUCAUUUUUCCACAGUUCAUCCACUAUGCACACUUGUGAUCCCGUAUCCCAUAAUGCAUCAACAAGCUGGCCUUGAAUGUAACAUGGUACAAUACACUGCUUUCCAACAAAAUCAGCACAAAUAGAUUCUUUUGCAUUUGUUUUCUUUUCAAUCAUGGCAGAAUUCAUAUCACGGUUGGAAACUUGUUUGCAUUGAUUCUUAUGUUUUGUCCAGUGAUGACAUUGACAGGCUUUGGAGCAAUAAAGUGUUUGCUUACAGGCAGAACAUUGUUGCAAAUUUAAGUCAGGAUUCACUACACCACAGUGUGCACAGCUUUGUGGGGACUCCAAUGUUUCACUGGUCACUCCCUGUCCCGCGGUCGUGACCCGGUCUCGUUUAACGACUGGUCUCUGUACAUCAUUGGAUUUCGCACUCUGCAACCUGCCAGAAAAUGGUCGCUACUCCCACAUCUAUAACAGUGAGUACAGUGCACAUCUAAUCCGCUCUGCUGACAUGCCACACAUUUCCUUAGAUGGGUUGGAGGAGGGUGGUAUUGUUGUGGAGGGAGCCAAUGUUGUCGCUGAUAUGCUCCCCUUCGCCUGUCAUAAGGCUGCAGAUAACGUGCAGUGUGGUAUGUAGACUGGGGAGGUUGCAUGUAUAUGGUAUCCCUUAAAUGGGUGGAGGACUGUGUGGGCAUGACCUGAGGCUGUCGUAUGGAUUCUUUAAUUUGAGCCACCUCUACACUGAGAUCCUUCAACAUUGCCAUGUCAGACCGCAUUCCUUUUAACUCACUCAAAAGGCAACAUUGACCUUGUCCAAUAGAAGUUCAUCGCUCACCUCAUUUCUUGUGAGAUAGCUACGCAGCUGCAUGCCUGGUGCUAUUGCUCUGAUUACAGCAUCCACUAUUUCAAGUUCCGAAACCCCUCUGCUCAGUCCAUGCUCAAUUUGAUGAGCCAAACUUGAAAAAGUGAGUUUGUCUUUCUGUCCAUGCUCACCGAUCUGUCCUGAAAUUUUAAAUUCUCUAUUCCAGGGAAACAUAACUGGUUGAGAGGGCACUUGAUUUAGUCUUUCUUGCUCUACAUUUUCUGCUACCUGGUCUAAGGCCCCUCUUAUUGAUGUGUGAGGUGUUUGUUUUUCUGGAUCACUGUUUCCAAACUGAAUUUCACAAAUUUUAUCUUUUAAGCACAAAAGCUCUGACAUACCAGCAUCUUCAAGCUCUUCUAAUGUCUCUCUCUCAAUGUGUUUUACAAUCAAAGAAAUGAGUGCUGAACGACUUUUGUUGACAGCAUUUUCACACUUAACUUCCAGAAAGUGACAUAAUUCAAGAAGGUUUCCUUUUGAGAGAGCAUAUAAUGCUCCUAUAACCUCAAGCUUCAAGUCCUCUAAGGAAUCCAUAGGUUGCUCAGUCUUUGGAAAUGUGCAGUGCAAUGUAUGUGUGCAAUGUCCGUAGCUGGCUGGAAUCUUGCAGCAAUCCUGAUACUGUAAGUUGAUCUCAGAUUGAAUGCACUU